UAUCACAGAAUUUUUUAAUUCUCAUCACUUUUGUAUGUUUAUGCGUUCGGUUGUACCGUGAAUAUUUUAAUAUGUUUGAAAUACGUGGGAAGAAUACGUUUGUAUGUUUUUUUUAAAUUGUUUUAGGUGUGGUACUCUCUAUUUAGUUCGUGUGGUACUAUAUCGGCGUUCAAACCAAAAAAUCAAUCAUGUUUAAUUGUUAUCGAAUUGAGUUUCCACGUUAAUUAUUUUUUUGGUUCUUCAGUUCUUCUGCAUCAUAUCAAUCUGUUUCUACUUUCUAGUUCUCGGCGAUGGACUAGCAAUUACGACUACUUGCUGAUUUUUUGAAUAUUACGAUAGCGAUUCUCGGAAUCCCGAAGACGACUCCGGUCACCAGAAACUGAAUUCGGCAAUGGAAAAAACUGGCAAUAACACCAACUCACAUGGACUUGAGGAAGAAGCUGCUGUCAAAUCAAGUUAUUCUUCAUCUCCUGAAACAAGUUCAUCUGGUGAUGAAUCUGACGGAUGUGAUUCUGAGCCAGACACUAUAAAUCCUGCUGUCGAGCUAAACACUUCAAAGGCCGGAAAGAAGACUCUCAAUGGGAAAACAGUGACAGACUCUACGAGGCCAAUUCUCAUCAAACAACUGAACUAUGCAGCUGCCAAACCCAAACGUAAAAGAAAGCCAAAAUCUUUUGCUGAACCUAUUAAAAGUUUCCAGGAUGACGAGGAGGAGCAAGAAGUAUAUUCCAUGGUGGGAAUGAUGAUUGAUUUGUUGGCUCGCCAUCAAGCAAGUAUGCACGUUGCUUACCUUGCAGUAACACAAGUUCGCGAUUUCCUGAUUCCACUUAAAGAGCAAAAAUAAAACGCCAAAUUGAGGGACAAGGCAGUUCAAUACCCUGUCCGGCCAGAGAUCCAACCAAUUGAAGGUGAAGAUUUGCACGUUGGUCAUCGAUGGGCAUUUUCGCCCGACAAAUCAACAGCCCAUGAAGAUCGAUCAGAUGAGGCCUCCUCAUCCAACAACAGCAGCGUUACACCUCGUGCCUAACCCAGUGCCUCAAAAAACGCAACAUGUUUGACGCCGAAGUAGUAGGGCGAUUCAUGGCCGGUGCGUAUUCAGAAGGUAAUUUUGGACAAGGCCGAUAACAAGGGGGAUAUUUUGCAUAUGGCUGUUGAUCGUGGUUCGCGUCAAGGUUGUGUUUACAUCAAGUGUGCAAGUGCUGAUGAUGCCGGCAAGGUAUACCACUCGCUCCACGGCUGGUGGUUUGAUGGCAAUUUGGUCACAGUCAAGUACCUUAGUCCCGAACAAUAUCAAUAUCGUUUCCCAGAAUCAGUAAAAACAACUUUCCAACUGAUGCAGCCAUCCAAUGUUGAGUAAUUGUCUCUGUAGACCAAGUUCUGGAUAUCACCUUUUGAGCAUUUUUUAAUUAAUUAAACAAAUUUCCCAUAGGUUAACCCCUUUUUUGACAUGUUUUAACUUGAAUGACACAAUACAAAAGACACUUAACAGUU